UUGGUGGUGGAGGUAGUAGUAGUAGUAGUAGUGGUUGCAGUAACAGCGUAUAUAAAAGUCGUGCGCUUUACAUCUUGAGCGCAUUUGCAGACAACUUCGCAAUUCGUUGUGGUUCAGCAACUCAGAAGCAAUUCAUAACUUCUAAAAGAAACAUCCAAUCGACAUCGUAGGCUAAGAAUUUUUUUUCUGGAACAUACAAGAAUCAAGAUUUAUUUGUUUCAUCCACACUCUUCUACCAGAAAUGGAUGAUCUGAUGACAAGCUCCCACCAGGGAGCUGCACCAAAUAUUGGUAUUUUUAGCUGGUUCAGGCCAGGAUCACGUCAUCCCAUCAAUCUUCCUCCAUUAACGCGAGAGAAAGAUCCAUGUAAAGCCGAACGAAUAAAUGAAAUGCAGAAGAAUCGUGACCUCUAUAAGUUAAAAUACGUAGAGGGCUUCCCUCUUAAGUUGGAAACAUUGCCGCGCAACGAAAAAGAUUUGAUAUACACGGUAAGAAU